UUGGGCCUGAUUUGGAAUGUUAUAGUUUAUACUUACCGAGGAAGCCACCCUUGCUUUCAGGAUGGAUUGUUAGCAGUUCCGUUGGCCUCAGACACCAACUUGAACUGAUCGUCUUGGACAUGUGAGAAUGUUACACUUACUGUGUGAUGUUUCUGCCCAUCCUCGUCCUUUCUUCGCUCUUGAUCAUCAGUGUGAUUGAUGUGUCUCCAGUGAAAAUCUGUGACUUUGACUUGGGCAGUGGGAUGAAACUGAACAACUCCUGUACCCCCAUAACCACACCAGAGCUGACCACCCCAUGUGGCUCUGCAGAAUACAUGGCCCCUGAGGUAGUGGAGGUCUUCACGGACCAGGCCACAUUCUACGACAAGCGCUGUGACCUGUGGAGCCUGGGCGUGGUCCUCUACAUCAUGCUGAGUGGCUACCCGCCCUUCGUGGGUCACUGCGGGGCUGACUGUGGCUGGGACCGGGGCGAGGUCUGCAGGGUGUGCCAGAACAAGCUGUUUGAAAGCAUCCAGGAAGGCAAGUAUGAGUUUCCUGACAAGGACUGGGCACACAUCUCCAG
rnacentral:sRNA from 1 species